rnacentral:rRNA from 1 species
GACGAACGCUGGCGGCGUGCUUAACACAUGCAAGUCACGGGGGCUCGCAAGAGCAACCGGCGAACGGGUGCGUAACACGUGAGCAAUCUGCCGAUUUCUGGGGGAUAGCCGGCCCAACGGCCGGGUAAUACCGCAUACGUUCUCGAGGGGGAGUCCCCUUGGGAAGAAACCUCCGGGGGAAAUCGAGGAGCUCGCGGCCUAUCAGCUAGUUGGCGGUGUAAUGGACCACCAAGGCUAUGACGGGUAGCUGGUCUGAGAGGAUGGCCAGCCACAUUGGGACUGAGAAACGGCCCAGACUCCUACGGGAGGCAGCAGUGGGGAAUCUUGCGCAAUGGCCGAAAGGCUGACGCAGCGACGCCGCGUGUGGGAUGAAGCAUUUCGGUGUGUAAACCACUGUUGCCCGGGACGAACAUCCUCUUUCGAGAGGACU